GAUGAACGCUGGCGGCGUGCCUAAUACAUGCAAGUCGAGCGAACAGACGAGGAGCUUGCUCCUCUGACGUUAGCGGCGGACGGGUGAGUAACACGUGGAUAACCUACCUAUAAGACUGGGAUAACUUCGGGAAACCGGAGCUAAUACCGGAUAAUAUAUUGAACCGCAUGGUUCAAUAGUGAAAGACGGUUUUGCUGUCACUUAUAGAUGGAUCCGCGCCGCAUUAGCUAGUUGGUAAGGUAACGGCUUACCAAGGCAACGAUGCGUAGCCGACCUGAGAGGGUGAUCGGCCACACUGGAACUGAGACACGGUCCAGACUCCUACGGGAGGCAGCAGUAGGGAAUCUUCCGCAAUGGGCGAAAGCCUGACGGAGCAACGCCGCGUGAGUGAUGAAGGUCUUCGGAUCGUAAAACUCUGUUAUUGGGGAAGAACAAAUGUGUAAGUAACUAUGCACGUCUUGACGGUACCUAUUCAGAAAGCCACGGCUAACUACGUG
rnacentral:rRNA from 1 species